CUUAUCCUUUCGUCUCUCUUCCCGAUUUCUGCCCCCGACUGAGCUCUCCUCUCUCUCCAGUUCGUGCCGACGACCGCCAGCGGUCUUUCUCUUGUUCGUACCGACGACCAGGCCGACGGGCGGCUGGGGCUUUGGCCAUGCAGCUCGGAAUCGGCGCCCGGCCAACCAUGCUCUGGUUGUUCAUACUCUCCGGCAGCCAGAGAGCAUGGAUCUGGCGUCUCCAUAGACUCCUGCCCAGAUGGGGAUCGAGCUGACAUUCGUUCUAGCUGCCGAGGAGGAGGCUCGUGGCCAGCGGUGUUGGAGCGUUGCGGCCGAAGAGGGAGGAGAAGCUUGCUUUCCAUGGACGCAGCUGCUGGGGUGCCCGAUUUGUAGUCUCCCUCCUCGGCUCCGGCGUAUAGAACGGAUGGAUCAGGUACCCCUCUACUCUGCUGGACAGGGAGCACGGAUCCAGCGUGCCCUUUGUAUCCAGCACAUGCAGCACUCGUACGUGCAAUUCCUCAUUUGCUUGGUAAUGCUCCUCUGUUUCUGAUCUCCUUUCAAUUCGUGCGAAAGCAGUUGAUUUGCUGCAGUGUACGUGCAAUUUUUAGCACAUACUGUAGUUUUGAAUUGGCUAAUUAUUAUUUGCAACAGCCAACAGUAGUGAGGCUGGAGUGGACGGUGGAGCUUUUUGUUUAAUAUUGACAAUUGGUUUGUGUAGAUGCGAUAUGAACAAAUUCUGAUGCCCAAACCAUUUUGUUUUGUUGACAAACUAUGUCAAGUCAUUUAGUGCAAAGUGUUUUACUGCAUGAUCCAUCCGAUGUGCAUUCUGUUGAUGCCAAUGUCUUCUACAACUGAUUAAAAGACUGGGUGGCAAGACGGUCUUCAAGUUUGAUUGUGUGAAAUAAUUUUUAUGGUGAUGGUACAAUAGUCUGUGUUAAUCUAGUGCUAAUUAGGAUCUAAGUGUGAUAUGAAGCAAAUCUGUAUUUGUUGUUUGUUUGUCUAUGAACAGAAAUCAGAAAAAGAAAAGGGUCUUUGUUCAUUGUCCAAUUUAGUGAUGGAACAGUGACAUUUUGCUCAUUAUGUGCCCUAUGGAAUACUAUAUUUCAGGAGGAUUAGUUCUUUUUUUAAAGUGUACAAAUACUUACUUGUACCAUUUUUGCAGUGUAAACUGAUACUAAAUUUUCUGCUGUGUUGGGUUGUGCAGUAUCUCUUUGUAUGUAAACCAUUAUAUUCUUUUUUUGCGCAUAGUAAACAAUCAUAUUCGGCAAGACAUAUGCAGUGUGAUAUUUUGUUUGUAGUUUUUCGGUCAUCUGUUUAAUGUGAACUAUCUAAAAUUCACUAACAAUUUCUCAGGUGUGUCUCGCCACUCUAGUUAGCAGCCAGUGUGCCGCUGUUGGUACUAAGUCAAGGCAAUCAAUGCAGAAUGGAGAUAUGUUACUCCGAAUAUAAAAUUGGUGGGAGAGGGGAAACAUGGACUGACAUGCACUGUUUACACAUCAGGCCUAUCGUCAGGAUUUGACAGGUGGGAAAAGGAGACAAGCAUAUACAUGAUUUAUGAUGUGGUAUACAGACUAAAAUACUCCUGCCUUCAUCAAUCUUGGAGCAGCUGAGUGGUCCUGAUAUAGAGAGCAGCUGAGCUCGGGAGCCAUAUUGGAUAUCCCGUCAUGUUUGCCUUUUGUACAGGAAUAGGCAAGCACAAAGAAGAUCUGAUCGUAGACGCUCAUUGUCUUAGGCCCGAAAGAGAUCACUGCUUCUCCACCGUCUCUUUCUCUCCUGGUUAGAAACAACCUCAACAAUCUUGCAGCAUGUCUCUCCCUUCAGCUAUCUCCCACCCCAUGGAAGCUAACCCAUGUCUCUAUCAAAACCAAGUUGGAGCAUUGAUCCGCUGUGCUAAAGGAGCUUAUUGACCCAAAACUGUUUUCCUCAUCUGUAUCAGGUUAAUUUUCUCACAAUAUUUUGUUCUUAUUUUUCCUUGCAGGUUUAUCUUGAAUACACAGUAACUUUGGAUUUGGGUUCAAUUUGUUUUGUGUCAUGUGCUUGGAUAGUGUUGUGCUCUCCAGGGAUGCAAUCCCGGCUCUUCUCACAUACAACCUAUGGAUACCUUAUGGAGAUUGGUUGGAGCAUAAUCUUCUCACGUACAACCUAUGUAUACAUAAUGGGCAAUGGUUGGGGCAUAACGAUGCUAAUCAGGCGAGCUUAUAAAUUAACAUGUUGUCUAAGCACAUGACAACAGCAUGAAGGAGCCUAAUGUCGUCGUUGGUCAAAUACUAAUAAAUUUUUGUAUCGACAAAACAUGUCCAAGACCCUCUAUGGGAGAGUUAACAUCUUCAAUGGCAUGCCCAGUCUUCAUUUACGGCUGAUGUUGCUUGAUUUGCUGGUCCGCCACAAUCUCCUGUUCAAGAAAGUUCCUUGCAAAGCUGCCAUGUCCUGGCUGUUGUAGGUUACAAAAUUGACUUCUCAUGAAUUUGCUUCUAACCCUUUUUAGCCAGAAUAUAGUGCAGAUGUUA